rnacentral:lncRNA from 1 species
GCCGAAUGACCGGACCACAAGGUCUUCGAGAUAAGACUCGCGUGCCUUACCGUUGCACAAGGUCCACAGGCACACCAAGAGAACAAACUAAAAGCACAAAAUUCUCCAUGUGCAGAGCUCGGCAAUCUGGCCAUAGAAAGUGUACUACAUUAUACGACCUUUAGGUCAUUUACAGUAUAAAAGAUAGAGGAAAAGAUCCACACUAGAUUUGGG